CAUGCAAUAUUUGGGACAUACUUAUACUGAGAAGUUAUUCAAUGUUCAUCUGAAAUUCAAAUUUAAUUGGAUGUC
rnacentral:miRNA from 1 species